rnacentral:rRNA from 1 species
UACGGGGGGCAAGCGUUGUUCGGAAUUACUGGCGUAAGGCGCGUAGGCGGUUCGCUAAGUUGGAUGUGAACUACUGGCUCAACCAGAGCUGCAUCAACUGCGCUAGAGUCUGAGGGUAGCGAUCUGUGUAGCGUGAAUGCGUAGAUAUCAGAGACACGUGCGAGCGCUACUGACAGACUGACGCUGAGCGCGAAGCAGGAGCAACGAUAGACCGUGUAGUCAGACAGUCUCUGCUACGU